ACUUUUGUGACAUCAUGAUCCAUCUCCAUGGAAACCAUUGUGAUAUUAUAAAGAUUAUCUAAAAUCCAGCUGAGUCUGCAAAGCAGUCAAUAGCAGGAAGGAAGAGAGAAGGAAUCACGGGACUAAGAGAUGACUCUUGCUGCUAUGUGAAGAAGGGGUUCUGGGAGCAAGAGUGGAAGCCAGUGACAAGAUGUGUCAGGCGGCCAGUGGAAGCGCCCAGAUCACUCUCGCUGCUCUGUAAAGAGGGGGUUAUGGCAGCAAGAGCAGAUGUGAGAAGAUGUGUCAGGCGGCCAGUGGAAGUGCCCAGGUGAGAGGUGGAGGUGCCCG